GAGGGUAUAGCUCAAGUGGUAGAGCACAUGCUUAGCAUGCAUGAGGUCCUAGGUUCAAUCCCCAGUGCCUCCC
rnacentral:tRNA from 1 species